AAGGACUGUGCUCCCAAUCCGCUUAUGCUCAAGGAAGAACUGCCUGGAAGCCCUCCCUGGUACCAUACCCCAGCCGAUGAGUAUGUACCCCCAGAAGUACUUCCGCUCGGAGAAGAAGGAGACGGCAAGCAGGGUGUACAGGAAGGCCCAGAACCAGCCUGAUGUCAGGAUCAGAACAAAAGAGGAGGACUGCAUAUGUAUGGACCCACUCCAGAUGGCACGGGGACGGGGGGGAGUAGGAAAAGUGGCAUGAUGAGGGAAUGGAGGCACAGACUGAUUAGAAAACCAGCUCAAGGUCAUGUUGCUGGGUUACUCAGGCUGAAAUGCUCAAGACACUCUGUCUCAAGGGAUUUGUGGCUGGUUCAUCCUCAAGUAUAGGGGGAAUAGUGGCCAGGAAGAUCUCAGAGGUGGCUUCUGGAAGAGGAACCUGGGUACUGGCUACCCUGCCUUGUGUCCCAUCAUUGGUCUGUCUUGCCUGCCUUGGAGCACAUUUCUCACCAAGAAAUACUUCUAAGGGGCCAGGCGUGGUGACUCACGCUUGUAAUUCCAAGCACUUUGGCAGGCUGAGGCAGGUGGAUCACCUGAAGCCAGGAGUUCAAGAGCAGCCUGGCCAACAUGGCAAAACCCUGUCUAUACUAAAAAUACAAAAAUUAGCCAGGCAUGGUGGCGGGAGCCUGUAAUCUCAGCUCCUAGGGAGGCUGAGCCAGGAGAAUCGCUUAAACCUGGAAGCUGGAGGUUGCAGUGAGCCAAGAUCACACCACCACACUCCAGCCUGGGUGACAGAGCAAGACUCCAUCUCAAAAAGAAAAAAAAAAAAAAAAGGAAAUACUUCUAAGUUAUGUGAGAGAGUUUGUACAUACUGACAUUUUCAAUGGGUACAAUAA
rnacentral:antisense_RNA from 1 species